AUUGAACGCUGGCGGCAGGCUUAACACAUGCAAGUCGAGCGGGGUGAUGGUGCUUGCACUAUCACUUAGCGGCGGACGGGUGAGUAAUGCUUAGGAAUCUGCCUAUUAGUGGGGGACGACACCUCGAAAGGGAUGCUAAUACCGCAUACGUCCUAAGGGAGAAAGCAGGGGAUCACUUGUGACCUUGCGCUAAUAGAUGAGCCUAAGUCGGAUUAGCUAGUUGGUGGGGUAAAGGCCUACCAAGGCGACGAUCUGUAGCGGGUCUGAGAGGAUGAUCCGCCACACUGGGACUGAGACACGGCCCAGACUCCUACGGGAGGCAGCAGUGGGGAAUAUUGGACAAUGGGGGGAACCCUGAUCCAGCCAUGCCGCGUGUGUGAAGAAGGCCUUAUGGUUGUAAAGCACUUUGAGCGAGGAGGAGGCUCUUUUGGUUAAUACCCAAGAUGAGUGGACGUUACUCGCAGAAUAAGCACCGGCUAACUCUGUGCCAGCCGCCGCAGUAA
rnacentral:rRNA from 1 species